AACGAACGCUGGCGGCAUGCCUAACACAUGCAAGUCGAACGAGACUUUCGGGUCUAGUGGCGCACGGGUGCGUAACGCGUGGGAAUCUACCCUCAGGUUCGGAAUAACUCAGAGAAAUUUGAGCUAAUACCGGAUGAUGACGUAAGUCCAAAGAUUUAUCGCCUGAGGAUGAGCCCGCGUAGGAUUAGGUAGUUGGUGAGGUAAAGGCUCACCAAGCCGACGAUCCUUAGCUGGUCUGAGAGGAUGAUCAGCCACACUGGGACUGAGACACGGCCCAGACUCCUACGGGAGGCAGCAGUGGGGAAUAUUGGAAAAUGGGCGAAAGCCUGAUCCAGCAGUGCCGCGUGAGUGAUGAAGGCCUUAGGGUUGUAAAGCUCUUUUACCCGGGAAGAUAAUGACAGUACCGGGAGAAUAAGCUCCGGCUAACUCCGUG
rnacentral:rRNA from 1 species